UACGUAGGGUGCAAGCGUUAAUCGGAAUUACUGGGCGUAAAGCGUGCGCAGGCGGUUUUGUAAGACUGUCGUGAAAUCCCCGGGCUUAACCUGGGAAUGGCGAUGGUGACUGCAAGGCUAGAGUUUGGCAGAGGGGGGUAGAAUUCCACGUGUAGCAGUGAAAUGCGUAGAUAUGUGGAGGAACACCGAUGGCGAAGGUAGCCCCCUGGGUCAAAACUGACGCUCAUGCACGAAAGCGUGGGGAGCAAACAGG
rnacentral:rRNA from 1 species